rnacentral:rRNA from 1 species
ACGAACGCUGGCGGCGUGCUUAACCCAUGCAAGUCGAACGGAAAGGCCCUGCUUUUGUGGGGUGCUCGAGUGGCGAACGGGUGAGUAACACGUGAGUAACCUCCCCUUGACUUUGGGAUAACUUCAGGAAACUGGGGCUAAUACCGGAUAGGAGCUCCUGCUGCAUGGUGGGGGUUGGAAAGUUUCGGCGGUUGGGGAUGGACUCGCGGCUUAUCAGCUUGUUGGUGGGGUAGUGGCUUACCAAGGCUUUGACGGGUAGCCGGCCUGAGAGGGUGACCGGCCACAUUGGGACUGAGAUACGGCCCAGACUCCUACGGGAGGCAGCAGUGGGGAAUAUUGCACAAUGGGCGGAAGCCUGAUGCAGCAACGCCGCGUGCGGGAUGACGGCCUUCGGGUUGUAAACCGCUUUCGCCUGUGACGAAGCGUGAGUGACGGUAAUGGGUAAAGAAGCACCGGCUAACUACGUG